GCUCCCAUCUUCUAAUGGCAGGAAAAGCGGCCGAUAACCGCUCAAUGGCUGGUUCGAUUCCACCUGGGAGUACCA
rnacentral:tRNA from 1 species